CCUGGAACUCCUGGGCUCAAGUGAUCCUCCUGCCUCAGACUACCAAGUAGGUGAAACUACAGGGACUUUACCGACUCCAUAACAUCUUAUCUAUGAUGUCCAGAGUGAGAGCUUUCCCACUGCAAAACAACCGUAUGAAAAACAACUACUAUGACACGCAAAUUCGUGAAGCGUUCCAUAUUUUUUCUAACUCAUGGCAUACUAGAUAUGUUAAUAAACUUAUGACAUGAAUGCUUAAUGCCUCGUUUUUGAAAUAGGGAAUGUACUACUUGGCCAUUUGCCUACUUUAUUAAUUUGGGUAACAUUCCAGUAUUACUCUGUGAUUUAGCUUAUUUAAUAGUGUUAAACUGAGGUUAUAUUAAAUUUUUGAUUCCCAGGUCAGGAUUUUGUUGGUAAUUUAUGCAAUAAAAGGGAAAUACAAAUCAAAAAAAAAAAAAAAAAAA